rnacentral:rRNA from 1 species
GACGAACGCUGGCGGCGUGCUUAACACAUGCAAGUCGAGCGGUAAGGCCCUUUCGGGGGUACACGAGCGGCGAACGGGUGAGUAACACGUGGGUGACCUGCCCUCAGCUCUGGGAUAAGCCUGGGAAACCGGGUCUAAUACUGGAUAUGACUCCAUGACGCAUGUUGUGGGGUGGAAAGCCUUGUGCGGCUGAGGAUGGGCCCGCGGCCUAUCAGCUUGUUGGUGGGGUGAGGCCUACCAAGGCGACGACGGGUAGCCGGCCUGAGAGGGCGACCGGCCACACUGGGACUGAGACACGGCCCAGACUCCUACGGGAGGCAGCAGUGGGGAAUCUUGCGCAAUGGGCGAAAGCCUGACGCAGCGACGCCGCGUGAGGGAUGAC